rnacentral:rRNA from 1 species
UACGUAGGGGGCAAGCGUUGUCCGGAUUUAUUGGGCGUAAAGAGCGUGUAGGCGGCCAGGGAGGUCCGUUGGGAAAACUCGAGGCUCAACCUCGAGACGCCGAUGGAAACCCCCUGGCUAGAGUCCGGAAGAGGAGAGUGGAAUUCCUGGUGUAGCGGUGAAAUGCGCAGAUAUCAGGAAGAACACCCGUGGCUAAGGCGGCUCUCUAGUACGGUACUGACGCUGAGACGCGAAAGCGUGGGGAGCGAACAGG